rnacentral:lncRNA from 1 species
AGAAAGAAAGAAAAAGCCAGGUGUUGCCAGGUGUGGUGGCUCACAACUGUAAUCCCAGCAGCUCAGGAGGCUGAGGCAGGAAGAUCGUGAGUUCAAAGCCAGCCUCAGCAAUUUAGCAAGGCACUAAGCAACUCAGUGAGACCCUGUCUCUAAAUUAAAUACAAAAAAAGGGCUGGAGAUGUGGCUCAGUGGUUGAGUGCCCCUGAGUUCAAUCCCUGGUACCAAAAAAAAAAAAAGCCAGGUUCUGUGGCUGGGCCUGUGAGCCCAGCUAGUUGGGAGGCUGAGGCAGGAAGAUUGAAAGUUUGAGGCCAGUCUGGGUAACACAGUGAGACCCUGCCAAGAAAGGAAUAAAAUAAAACAGAACAAAUAACAGCUGGAUAAAAAUUGACCUGGAGGGGCUGAGGUUAUGGCUCAGUGGUAGAGUGCUUGCCUAGCAUGUGUGAGGCACUGGAUUUGAUUCUCAGCACCACAUAUAAAUUAAUAAAUAAACAAAGGUCUAUCAACAAUUUUUUUUUUUUUAAAUUGACUUCCUGGAGCUGGAUUAAGAGUCAAAGCUUCCCUUUGGCCAUAUCUUUUCCAUUCUAUCUGACAAAAUGGGGAGGGUUGAACACUAGAAGUAAGAGAGCACCCACAAUUUGCAGCCACUGUGCACCCUAAGGGUACAGGUCUAUUCUUGAUAUCCCAUGGCAUUUAUUUGGUAUUGGCAGCCGGGGCUUAACCAGCACUGAACCAUACACGGAGAGCAGAUGUUCCCUGUCCUGAUUGUUAGGCCUCCCCUCACCAUGGGCUGCCUAGUCCAGGAAAGGGAGGCUGGUUUCAAGAUUUUUACAAAGUUCGCCUGCUGUGGUGGUGUAUACCUAUAAUUCCAGCUACUUGGAGGAUUCCAAGGUCAAGGCCAGCUUAGCGAGACUCUGUGUCAGAAUAAAAAUUUAAAAAGGCCUGGGUAUGUAGCUCAGUGAUAGAGCACUUGCCUAGCAUAUGCAAGACCCUUGGUUCAAUCUCCAGUAACACACACACACCCA